rnacentral:rRNA from 1 species
CGAAGGGGGCAAGCGUUGUUCGGAAUUACUGGGCGUAAAGCGUGCGCAGGCGGUUUUGUAAGACAGGCGUGAAAUCCCCGGGCUCAACCUGGGAAUGGCGCUUGUGACUGCAAAGCUGGAGUGCGGCAGAGGGGGAUGGAAUUCCGCGUGUAGCAGUGAAAUGCGUAGAUAUGCGGAGGAACACCGAUGGCGAAGGCAAUCCCCUGGGCCUGCACUGACGCUCAUGCACGAAAGCGUGGGGAGCAAACAGGAUUAGAUACCCUGGUAGUCCACGCCCUAAACGAUGUCAACUGGUUGUUGGGUCUCUUCUGACUCAGUAACGAAGCUAACGCGUGAAGUUGACCGCCUGGGGAGUACGGCCGCAAGGUUG